GACGAACGCUGGCGGCGUGCUUAACACAUGCAAGUCGAACGGAAAGGCCCUGCUUUUGUGGGGUGCUCGAGUGGCGAACGGGUGAGUAACGCGUGAGUAACCUGCCCUUGACUUUGGGAUAACUUCAGGAAACUGGGGCUAAUACCGGAUAGGAGCUCCUGCUGCAUGGUGGGGGUUGGAAAGUUUCGGCGGUUGGGGAUGGACUCGCGGCUUAUCAGCUUGUUGGUGGGGUAGUGGCUUACCAAGGCUUUGACGGGUAGCCGGCCUGAGAGGGUGACCGGCCACAUUGGGACUGAGAUACGGCCCAGACUCCUACGGGAGGCAGCAGUGGGGAAUAUUGCACAAUGGGCGGAAGCCUGAUGCAGCAACGCCGCGUGCGGGAUGACGGCCUUCGGGUUGUAAACCGCAUUCGCCUGUGACGAAGCGUGAGUGACGGUAAUGGGUAAAGAAGCACCGGCUAACUACGUG
rnacentral:rRNA from 1 species